GAAUCCCGUCUUUGGCACGGAUGUACCGGGGCUUUUGUGAUGCGCUCUCGAAGAGUCGAGUUGUUUGGGAAUGCAGCUCAAAAUGGGUGGUGAACUCCAUCUAAAGCUAGAUAUUGGCGAGAGACCGAUAGCGAACAAGUACCGUGAGGGAAAGAUGAAAAGCACUUUGGAAAGAGAGUGAAACAGUACGUGAAAUUGUUGAAAGGGAAACGCUUGAAGUCAGUCGCGUCGACCGAGACUCAGCCUCGCCUCGGCUUGGUGUACUUCUCGGCUGACGGGUCAGCAUCAAUUUUGCCCCUUGGAUAAUGGCGAGGGAAAUGUGACACCUUUGCGGUGUGUUAUAGUCUCUCGUCGCAUGCAAGGGUCGGGAUUGAGGAACUCAGCACGCGCCUUUGGGCGUCGGGGCUUUGCCCACGAUACGUGCUUAGGAUGCUGGCGUAAUGGCUUUAAACGGCCCGUCUUGAAACACGGACCAAGGAGUCUAACAUGCCUGCGAGUGUUCGGGUGGAAAACCCGUGCGCGCAAUGAAAGUGAAAGUUGGGACCUCUGUCGUGGAGGGCACCGACGCCCGGACCAGACCUUCUGUGACGGUUCUGCGGUAGAGCAUGUAUGUUAGGACCCGAAAGAUGGUGAACUAUGCCUGAAUAGGGUGAAGCCAGAGGAAACUCUGGUGGAGGCUCGUAGCGAUUCUGACGUGCAAAUCGAUCGUCAAAUUUGGGUAUAGGGGCGAAAGACUAAUCGAACCAUCUAGUAGCUGGUUCCUGCC
rnacentral:rRNA from 1 species